UACGGAGGGGCUAGCGUUGUUCGGAAUUACUGGGCGUAAAGCGCGUGUAGGCGGGUCUUUAAGUCAGGGGUGAAAUGCCAAGGCUCAACCUUGGAACUGCCUUUGAUACUGGAGAUCUUGAGUCCGGGAGAGGUGAGUGGAAUUGCGAGUGUAGAGGUGAAAUUCGUAGAUAUUCGCAAGAACACCAGUGGCGAAGGCGGCUCACUGGCCCGGAACUGACGCUGAGACGCGAAAGCGUGGGGAGCAAACAGG
rnacentral:rRNA from 1 species